rnacentral:rRNA from 1 species
UACGUAGGUGGCAAGCGUUAUCCGGAUUUAUUGGGUGUAAAGGGCGUGUAGGCGGGAGCGCAAGUCAGAUGUGAAAACUCAGGGCUCAACCCUGAGCCUGCAUUUGAAACUGUGUUUCUUGAGUGCUGGAGAGGCAAUCGGAAUUCCGUGUGUAGCGGUGAAAUGCGUAGAUAUACGGAGGAACGCCAGUGGCGAAAGCGGCUCUCUGGCCUGUAACUGACACUGAGGCUCGAAAGCGUGGGGAGCAAACAGG